rnacentral:rRNA from 1 species
AAUCAACGCUGGCGGCGUGCCUCAGACAUGCAAGUCGAACGCGAAAUCCCGAGCAAUCGGGAGAGUAGAGUGGCGCACGGGUGAGUAACACGUAGGUAAUCUACCUUCGGAUGGGGAAUAACAACCGGAAACGGUUGCUAAUACCGCAUAAUGCAGCGGCACCUAAUGGUGACAGUUGUUAAAGCGGGGGAUCGAAAGACCUCGCGUCUGAAGAGGAGCCUGCGGCGGAUUAGCUAGUUGGUAAGGUAAUGGCUUACCAAGGCAACGAUCCGUAACCGGCCUGAGAGGGCGGUCGGUCACACUGACACUGACAUACGGGUCAGACUCCUACGGGAGGCAGCAGUCGGGAAUUUUGGGCAAUGGGCGAAAGCCUGACCCAGCAACGCCGCGUGAAGGAUGAAAU